GUUGAUUUGAAGGGCGCACUGGUUGCCCCAAUUGGAGUAGCGAAAGCAACAUCCUGAAAAGGGCCUGCCAUCUUCCCGCGAGGGAACCACCCAAGAUCCCCGCCUUUCUUCCCCGACGGGCACUCGGAGUACUCCGCCGCUAGUUUUGCGAACUCCGGCGGAGGGACUUUGUCGCCGUUUUCGAGCCAGCCGUCCUGCAGCUUCUUUUAGGCUUCGUUGAUUUUGCCUUGCUU
rnacentral:lncRNA from 1 species